rnacentral:rRNA from 2 species
UAGGGAAUCUUCGGCAAUGGGGGGAACCCUGACCGAGCAACGCCGCGUGAGUGAAGAAGGUUUUCGGAUCGUAAAGCUCUGUUGUUAAGGAAGAACGAGUGUGAGAAUGGAAAGUUCAUGCUGUGACGGUACUUAACCAGAAAGGGACGGCUAACUACGUGCCAGCAGCCGCGGUAAUACGUAGGUCCCGAGCGUUGUCCGGAUUUAUUGGGCGUAAAGCGAGCGCAGGCGGUUAGAAAAGUCUGAAGUGAAAGGCAGUAGCUCAACCAUUGUAGGCUUUGGAAACUGUUUAACUUGAGUGCAGAAGGGGAGAGUGGAAUUCCAUGUGUAGCGGUGAAAUGCGUAGAUAUAUGGAGGAACACCGGUGGCGAAAGCGGCUCUCUGGUCUGUAACUGACGCUGAGGCUCGAAAGCGUGGGGAGCGAACAGG